rnacentral:rRNA from 1 species
GAAAGUAAUGAAGGGCGUACGGUGGAUGCCUAGGCUCUUACAGGCGAUGAAGGACGUGAUAAGCUGCGAAAAGCCGCGGUGAGGCGCAAAUGGCCCUUGACCCGCGGAUCUCCGAAUGGGACAACCCAAUAUCUUGAAGAGAUAUUAUCCCGCCGAUGCGGGAGGCGAACGCGGGGAACUGAAACAUCUUAGUACCCGCAGGAAAAGAAAAUAAAGAAUGAUUCCCCCAGUAGUGGCGAGCGACCGGGGAAGAGCCCAAACCGACGUUGUCUCGGCAUCGUCGGGGUUGUAGGACCGCGCCAUCGCAAGAAAGGCCGUGAGUGGAAGCGACUGGAAAGCCGCGCCAUAGAGGGUGACAGCCCCUUACACGAAGCAGCCAGAAGCGUAGCGGACUCCUGAGUAGCGCGGGACACGAGUAAUCCUGUGUGAAUCCGCCGGGCCCAUCCGGCAAGGCUAAAUACUCGUAAGAGACCGAUAGUGAACCAGUACCGUGAGGGAAAGGUGAAAAGUACCCCUUGCAGGGGAGUGAAAGAGUUCCUGAAACCGUACGCCUACAAGCGGUCGGAGCAUCUUGAAUGAUGUGACGGCGUGCCUUUUGCAUAAUGAACCUACGAGUUGCCGUCACCAGCGAGGUUAAGUGCGAUGACGCACCGAGCCGCAGCGGAAGCGAGUCUUAAAAGGGCGCGAUAGUUGGUGGAGGCAGACGCGAAACCGAGUGAUCUACACUUGUCCAGGAUGAAGUCCCGGUAACACGGGAUGGAGGUCCGCACCAAUAAGCGUUGAAAAGCUUCUGGAUGAGGUGAGUGUAGGAGUGAAAGGCCAAUCAAACUCGGAGAUAGCUCGUACUCCCCGAAAGGCAUUUAGGUGCCGCCUCGGACGUUCCCGAUGUGAGGUAGAGCGACUGAUUGGAUGCGAGGGCUUCACCGCCUAUCAAGUCCUGAUAAACUCCGAAUGCGCAUCGGCCAAGUCCGGGAGUAAGGGCAUGGGUGCUAAGGUCCGUGCCCGAGAGGAGAAGAAUCCAGACCAUCGGCUAAGGUCCCGAAAUACUGGUUAAGUUAGACUAACGAAGUCCGGCCCCCAAGACAGCUAGGAUGUUGGCUUGGAAGCAGCCAUUCAUUCAAAGAGUGCGUAACAGCUCACUAGUCGAGGAGCUGGGCGUGGAUAAUAAUCGGGUAUGAAACCAGUUACCGAAGCCGUGGGAUGCUUAAGCAUCGGUAGGGGAGCAUUGCAUGCGGCUUAGAAGGCGGGGCGCGAGCCCCUCUGGAGCGCAUGGAAACGCAAAUGUAGGUAUAAGUAACGACAAGGGGGGUGGGAUGCCCCCCCGCCGAAAGACCAAGGUUUCCUGAACAACGCUAAUCGGUUCAGGGUCAGUCGGGUCCUAAGCAUAAGCCGUAUGGCGAGGGCGAUGGACGAAACGGUUAAUAUUCCGUUACUGUCUUGGUGUGUGACGCGGCGACGGAGUAGUGACACGGCCGCCUCCUGACGGAAAAGGGGGUUGAAGCGCAAAGGUGUCGAGGAAGGCAGGCAAAUCCACCUUCCGAGCCGAAGCGCGAAAGUACGCCGGGCCCUUUGGGGCAAGGCGAUAGUGCCGGUAAUCAGACUUCCAAGAAAACCCGCUAAACUUCAGCACCAAGUCACCCGUACUCCAAACGGACACACGUGGUCGGGUAGAAUAUACUAAGGCGCUUGGGAGAUUCACGGUUAAGGAACUAGGCAAAUUGACCCCGUACCUUCGGAAUAAGGGGUCCUCGCUUUUGCGAGGCGCAGAGAAUAGGUCCAGGCAACUGUUUAACAAAAACACAGGGCUGUGCAAAUUUGAAAGAAGAAGUAUACAGCCUGACACCUGCCCGGUGCCGGAAGGUUAAGAGGAGAGCUCAUCAGCGAUGAGAAGGCUUGAAUUGAAGCCCCGGUAAACGGCGGCCGUAACUAUAACGGUCCUAAGGUAGCGAAAUUCCUUGUCGGGUAAGUUC